AUAUGUAACUACCGUAUACACAAACAUACCAUGUGUACCCAGCAUCACUGGACAGGUAGAUAUGUAACUACCGUAUACACAAACAUACCAUGUGUACCCAGCAUCACUG